rnacentral:rRNA from 1 species
GAUGAACGCUGGCGGCGUGCUUAACACAUGCAAGUCGAACGGUGAAGCAGGAGCUUGCUCUUGUGGAUCAGUGGCGAACGGGUGAGUAACACGUGAGCAACCUGCCCCUGACUCUGGGAUAAGCGCUGGAAACGGCGUCUAAUACUGGAUAUGUGAUGUGACCGCAUGGUCUGCAUCUGGAAAUAUUUUCGGUUGGGGAUGGGCUCGCGGCCUAUCAGCUUGUUGGUGAGGUAAUGGCUCACCAAGGCGUCGACGGGUAGCCGGCCUGGGAGGGUGACCGGCCACACUGGGACUGAGACACGGCCCAGACUCCUACGGGAGGCAGCAGUGGGGAAUAUUGCACAAUGGGCGGAAGCCUGAUGCAGCAACGCCGCGUGAGGGAUGACGGCCUUCGGGUUGUAAACCUCUUUUAGCAGGGAAGAAGCGAAAGUGACGGUACCUGCAGAAAAAGCACCGGCUAACUACGUGCCAGCAGCCGCAGUAA